rnacentral:rRNA from 1 species
ACUCAAAUGAAUUGACGGGGAGGCACACAACCAGUGGAACAUGUGGUUCAAUUCGAUACGAACCGAAGAACCUCACCAAGGCUUGACAUGCUAGCGUUCUAUUUCGAUGAAAGUCGAGAAAGUCCGCAAGGAGGCUAGCACAGGUGCUGCAUGGCUGUCGUCAGUUCGUUCCGUGAGGAGUGCCCUUAAGUGGGACAACGAACGCAACCCCUAUCUCGCGUUAGAUAUGUCGCGAGAGACUGCCCCGACUUUGUCGGGGAGGAAGGAGGGGCAGACGUCAAGUCAGCAUGGUCCUUAUGCCUUGGGCUACACACAUGUUACAAUGAAGAGUAACAAUGAGCAUUGCCAACUCGUAAGAGUGAGCUAAUCUCAUAAAUCUUUUCUCAGUAGGGAUUGAGGUCUGAAACUCGACCUCAUGAACAUGGAAUUGGUAGUAAUCGCGGGUCAGCUACACCGCGGUGAAUACGUUCUUGCCUCUUGCACACACCGCCCGU